GUGCCAGCAGCCGCGGUAAUACGAAGGGUGCAAGCGUUACUCGGAAUUACUGGGCGUAAAGCGUGCGUAGGUGGUGAGUUAAGUCUGAUGUGAAAUCCCCGGGCUCAACCUGGGAAUGGCAUUGGAUACUGGCUCGCUAGAGUGCGGUAGAGGGUGGUGGAAUUCCCGGUGUAGCAGUGAAAUGCGUAGAGAUCGGGAGGAACAUCUGUGGCGAAGGCGGCCACCUGGACCAACACUGACACUGAGGCACGAAAGCGUGGGGAGCAAACAGGAUUAGAAACCCGUGUAGUCC
rnacentral:rRNA from 1 species